ensembl:miRNA Mir6092 microRNA mir-6092
GGUCCCUGCUUCAGAGCAGGGUCAUGUCUUUGUUCUAGCAGGUUGUACCAUGGACAAGGCUGUGCUCUGAGUGCUGAGGC